CAAUCUCCUCCUUCAACUCUGGAUGUAACACCCUACAAUCGACCUCACUAUGACCCUGGAGUUUACAUCUUUUACAAUAUACUGGUAAUGAAUCGUAUUGAAUUUUCACUUUCACAAUUCUUUUUUCCUUGCUUGAUUCAUUUUUAAUUUCCAUGUGAACAAAUUUAGGUUUCUCCACUAACAAAUCCAGUUGGAUCUUCACCCUGGCACAACUUGGGUGAGUUUUGUUCACAGUUGCUAAAUCCAGAUGGAGAGGCUUUCCCACAGCUGCUGCCAAUGAGAACAAAGCUUCUUUGACAAAAAAGGUGGGGAGGAGGUCUGGAAAUGAGAUCCACACAGUUGUUUGUGAGGUUUCUUUAUUUAGUUUGAACUUUGCAUCAUAAAUGAAGGGACGCAUCUGAUAUGAAGCACCAUCCUUUGCAGUGAUGUAAUAAGCAUUCUUAGACAUAAUAUUAAUGAAAUCUUCUUCUAGAUCAAAUCUCAUUAAGAUAUGUCUAUUUCUCAGAAAACCAAUCUUACAUUCACCUUUAAUCCCACACUGCUUAGGGAUUAAAUCCCUUAAUUCUGAUAAUUCAGGCUAGCCAUAAGAGAAUUUUCCAACAAUAGCGUAUUGCAAGUUUUCGAUUAUGUUCAUUCUGUUGACUUCUUGCUCCGUCCAUUUGACUACUGGAAUUCCAUCUAUUAGACCUACUUUCUUUAUUGGGAUGGGAUCGACUACAGUCGUUGUCUUUGUAACUUUAUUCAAAUAACCAUUAGGUUUGAUGAUCGCUGCAUAGGAGGUGGCUGGAGGAGAGAUGUUUGGAAAGAUUGGAUUUGAGAGUUGGGAUAUGUUAGUUGCUGAGGGUAAUGGUGGAAAAUCAGAAUGGUCAGCCAGCGGAGGCGGCUGACCAUCUACCGGAAUCAUGGAGGGAUGGUUAAUUGGAGGAGUGUUAUAUAUGGCAUUUCAAGAAAUUUACAACUUUUGGCCACUGUUACCCUUGGAUACAGGGAAUACCGCAAGAAUGGCCACUAUUGGUGGAUCUACUUCAAAAUUAUAGACCGGCAGUGAGAACUACCUAGGUUUUUUGGAAAUUUCCUAGCAAAAACUGGUUCAAAUGUUAUUCGGACGGGUCUUCUAAGGGUAAUCCUGGUCCAAGUUCAAUAGCUUUCUAUGUUAGAAACCAUGAGGGUGACAUACAGAUUGCUUUGUGUAAGCAAAUAGCAGACACCACUAGUUUAUUUUCAGAAGCUCUGUCUAUGAAAGAGGGUUGUGAUUACUGUUUUGACCACGGUUUUUCAUCACUCAUUCUAGAAAUGGAUUCCUUAGCACUCAUGAAGAUAGUGACAAGAGAAUGGGAAUGUCCAUGGAAAAUUGUGAUGUUAAUCAAGAGAAUAAGAAACUACAUGAAGGGAGGACAAUUGCAGAUUACUCAUACUCUCAGAGAAGGAAAUGCCUUGGCAGAUUUUUUAACUAACAAGUGUUUUAGUUUUGCAGGUACACAAGCUUAUAAAUCAUUUGCAGAAUUACCACAAGAGGCAAAAGGCAUCGCAAUCUUAGACAAGCAACAAGUUCCACAAUUAAGAAUCAAGAGGAUGAAGAAAAAAGCUACAGAUUAACAACACAGUCGGAAUAAAGCAUCAAAAGAGAGUACUUCGCAUUUAAGGAGAGUUUCAUUUAGUGAAAAGUAAUGCAGCAGCUACAAAAAAUUCAAACAGAUUUGAGCUCAAACACCCGAAAAACAAUAAGUACAGCUUGGAGAUAGCUCCAAUCGAAUUUGAAUACACAGCACCUGGUGAGAGUUUUAAGGUGACUUGAGUUGUAUUUGGUUCAAAGCAGCUUAUUUUUUUUGACUGUUUUGAAGCUCAAGAUUAAUCUACAGAGAGGAACAACAAGAUAUCUCAGAAAUGAUGGAAGAUUAUUUGAUUAGAUGUGGUUGUCGAAGACACCGGAACAACAAACAGAUUGAAAGGAGAUGUGAAGAAGAAGAAGAACAGUACACUUUCCAAUUUCCCUGUUUUGCCUUUAGGAUUAGAAAGUCUUUUGACUUCCCUAAUUUUCUUACUGCAAUUGGACUUGGGUCUUGUCUGACCUAAGUAUAUUUGUACAAGCUUUAACAUUUUGAUUUAAUAAAUGGCCCAAAAGGCCGAUCUUUGACUUAAAAAGAAAAAAAAAAGUACAUUGUUUUCCUUA
rnacentral:lncRNA from 1 species